GCCUGGGUGGCUCAGUCAGUCAAGUGUCCGACUUCGGCUCGGGUCAUGAUCUCGCAGUUUGUGGGUUCGAGCCCCAUAUCGGGCU
rnacentral:tRNA from 1 species